UACGGGGGGGGCAAGCGUUGUUCGGAAUUACUGGGCGUAAAGGGCGCGUAGGCGGUGCUCUAAGUUAGAUGUGAAAACUCUGGGCUCAACCCAGAGCCUGCAUCUAAAACUGGAGUGCUUGAGUCCGGUAGGGGCAGAGGGAAUUCCCGGUGGAGCGGUGAAAUGCGUAGAGAUCAGGAAGAACAUCGGUGGCGAAGGCGCUCUGCUGGACCAUAACUGACACUCAGGGACGAAAGCUAGGGGAGCGAAUGGG
rnacentral:rRNA from 1 species